UACAGAGGUCCCGAGCGUUGUUCGGAUUCACUGGGCGUAAAGGGUGCGUAGGCGGUCGGGUAAGUCUGAUGUGAAAUCUCACAGCUUAACUGUGAAACUGCAUUGGAUACUAUUCGGCUUGAGAGUUGGAGGGGGGACUGGAAAUUCUUGGUGUAGCAGUGAAAUGCGUAGAUAUCAAGAGGAACACCAGUGGCGAAGGCGAGUCCCUGGACAACUUCUGACGCUGAGGCACGAAAGCUAGGGGAGCAAACAGG
rnacentral:rRNA from 1 species